GACGAACGCUGGCGGCGCGCCUAACACAUGCAAGUCGAACGAGCGAGAGAGAGCUUGCUUUCUCGAGCGAGUGGCGAACGGGUGAGUAACGCGUGAGGAACCUGCCUCAAAGAGGGGGACAACAUCUGGAAACGACUGCUAAUACCGCAUAAGCGCACGGCUCGGCAUCGAGCAGGGGGAAAAGGAGCAAUCCGCUUUGAGAUGGCCUCGCGUCAGAUUAGCUAGUUGGUGAGGUAACGGCCCACCAAGGCGACGAGCGGUAGCCGGACUGAGGGGUUGCCAGGCCACGUUGGGACUGAGACACGGACCCGACUCGUACGGGGCGGAGCAGUAGGGAAUAUUGCGCACUGGGGGAAAACGUGAUGACGCGACGCCGCGUGGAGGAAGAAGGUCUUCGGAUUGUAAACUCCUGUUGUUGGGGAAGAUAAUGACGGUAACCAACAAGGAAGUGACGGCUAACUACGUG
rnacentral:rRNA from 1 species